UGGGCUUGACAUGUCCGGAAUCCUGCAGAGAUGCGGGAGUGCCCUUCG
rnacentral:rRNA from 1 species